UGGAGCCCGACGCUGCGUCUUGGCCUCCCGCAGCAGGAUUUCCGCCGCGUCCUGGUCGAGGUGGUGGUGGCGGCCACCGCUGUGCUCGCUCUGGUCCUCAUGUGCUUGUGCAAAUGGUUCUCCGUCAGGUCCAGGCUGUUCCCCCGAAUCCCGCAGGUGAAGAAGGAAAUCACCGG